AUUUCCACGAGUCCUUCCUCUAAGCAACAUGGGGUACGCUGGCAAGGAAAUUUCGAUGCGUGGCCUUGUUCCCAGCUGCUGCUCCACCACACUUUUCCCUCAUGAUGUUCUGCCUCAUCUCAGUCCCCAAGGAAUGGAGUCGGCCAUCUGUGGACUGAGACUCCUGAAACUGUGAGCCUCAAGUAAACUUUUCCUUCUCUGAUUGUUCUUUAGGACUUUUGGUCUCAGCAGCAAAAACAAAAAACAAAUAAACCUGACUAAAACAGGC